GGUUAACUCAGCCCGGAGUUUAUGCUGCCAGGCACCGCUCCGCAGACCAGCCCUGAGUUUGUCCUCACAGGCAUACAGCGGUGCAUUUACUCAAGUACUGUACUUAAAGGAUGUGAGGAGUCCCUUUGAACUCCUGGAUCAGCAGGUGUCGCGCUCCUUUGGGAAUCUCCAGGAUCUUAAGACACCACAUCGGUCCUCCUGCUGGUCUGAAGCAAUCUGUCCAUCGCAACCUACAUGCUGCAGGAGGGGAGAGGGAACAAUGAGAGAGGAAAAGAAACAAGGAGAGAGGAGAGAAGCAGAUCUUAGUUGGAAGAUUAGUGGCUCUCUUUGGGACAGACACAGAUACAGUGUAUCUCCACCAUGGGUCCACCACAAAGAGCAGGCUUUCAACUUCAGUUAUCAGACAAAAUAAAGCUGAAAAUCUUCUUUUAUCUUCUUUUUUUUUAAAGUCUGUUUCCAGUUUGUUCAUAAGUUUAAAAAAUGCAUUUGAAACCUUUCAGAUGUUUUGACAUUUUCAAUAAGUGACAGGUCUGGACUUCAGGC